rnacentral:rRNA from 1 species
UAGGGGGCAAGCGUUGUUCGGAAUGACUGGGCGUAAAGGGUGUGUAGGUGGUUUGAUAAGUUAGAUGUGUAAUACCCAGGGCUUAACCCGGGUGCUGCAUCUAAAACUGUUAGACUUGAGUACUGGAGAGGAUAGUGGAAUUCCUAGUGUAGCGUUGGAAUGCGUAGAUAUUAGGAGGAACAUCAGUGGCGAAGGCGACUAUCUGGACAGCAACUGACACUGAGGCACGAAAGCGUGGGGAGCAAA